GAGGGUAUAGCUCAGUGGUAGAACACAUGCUUAGCAUGCAGGAGGUCCUGGGUUCAAUCCCCAGUACCUCCA
rnacentral:tRNA from 1 species